rnacentral:rRNA from 1 species
AGGACGAACGCUGGCGGCGUGCCUAACACAUGCAAGUCGAACGAGGUCCAUCAGGUGGCAACACCUGGGAAGACCUAGUGGCGAACGGGUGAGUAACACGUGAGGAACUUGCCCCGGAGACUGGGAUAACCCUCCGAAAGGAGGGCUAAUACCGGAUACCUCCACCGAGUCGCAUGGCUUGGUGAAGAAGUGGAUUCCGCUCCGGGAGAGCCUCGCGGCCUAUCAGCUAGUUGGUGGGGUAACGGCCACCAAGGCAUCGACGGGUAGCUGGUCUGAGAGGACGAUCAGCCACACUGGGACUGAGACACGGCCCAGACUCCUACGGGAGGCAGCAGUGGGGAAUCUUGCGCAAUGGGCGAAAGCCUGACGCAGCAACGCCGCGUGCGGGAUGAAGGCCCUCGGGUUGUAAACCGCUUUCAGUGGGGACGAACCAGACGGUACCCACAGAAGAGCCCCGGCAACUACGUGCCAGCAGCCGC